ensembl:lncRNA
GACGAGAAUGUCGCCUCUGCUUUUUGCAGAUGAUGUGGUUCUGUUGGUUUCAUCAGGUGGCAGCCUCCAGCUCACACUGAAGUUUUCACAGCCAAGUGUGAAUUGGAGGGAAUGAGAAUCACCGCCUCCAAUUCUGAGGCCAUGAUCAUCAGCCAGAAAAGAGCGGAGUCCCCACUCCGGGUCAGGGAUGAGUUGCCCCAAGUGAAGGGAUUGAAAUAUCUCGGGGUCUUGAUCACGAGUGAGGGGGGAGAGCAGGGGAUCGACAGACAGAUUGGUGCUGCUGUGCUGCGAUGAGAGAGCUGAGCGUAAAAGCGAAAACUCUCGAUUUACUGGUCUAUCUAUGUCCCUCCCCUCACCUAUGGUCACGAGCUUUGGGUAAUGACCAAAAGAACGAGAUUGCGGUUAUAAGCGGUUGAAAUGAGGUUUCUCCAAUGAGUGGCUGGCCUCUCGCUUAGAGCUGGGAUAAGAAGUUCGGCCAUCCAGGAGGAGCUCAGAGUAGAACCACUACUUCUCCACAUCGAAAGGAGCCAGUUGAGGUGGUUAGGGCAUCUGACAGGGAUGCCUCCUGGGUGAGGUGUCGGGUGAGGUGAGGUCUGUGCUUCUCUGCUUAGGCAGCUGCCCUGAGACCCAUCCCCAGAUAAACAGAGGAAAAUGGAUGGAUGGAUGGAUGGAUGGAUGGAUGGAUGGAUGGAUGGAUGGAUGGAUGGAUGGAUGGAUGGGCAAUAGAUAAAAAAGUAAGACAAGCUACAGAGAGUCUUAAGAAACUACACAAACUGCAAGGGCAGUGUAAUGUGCAUAUUGGUAUAUGACCUGAAUGCUAUAACACUGGGUUAUUUCACAGUGUUUGUCAGAGUGACAGCCUGGGGGAAGAAACUGUCUUCUCUGUGGCAGCUGGUUUGAGUAAGCAGUGCUGUAUAGUGCCUGCCUGUAGGUAGUAGUUUAAACUGUUUAUAUCUGGGAUGUAAGGGGUCUGCAUACAUAUUUUCUGCUCGUUUUCUAACCCUGGCUAUGUACAGGUCUUGAAUAGGGGGAAGCUCGGCACUGAUGAAACUCUCUGCUGACCUUCUUAUCCUUUGCAGUCUGGCCUGUCCUGCUUGGUGGCUGAGCCGAACCAGACAGUGAUUGAUGUGCACAGCACAGACUGGAUGAUGUGAGUGUGGAAGAUAGUAUACAUAUGGUAUAGUAUAUGUGAAUUGGUCAAUCUAACAUGUAAGUAUUAUGAAAAUAGCAUUUUGUUUAUUUUGUGACUAUCAGCGC